UUUUCUCAUUUACCACUGCAAACGCUCAAUUCUGCUAUUUUCUAGCCGUCUGAUGUUAAACAAUGGUGAAACUCCCUUAUAGAAUUCUGUGGUGAAACUCGCUUAUAGAAACGAGUACCCCUUCGAAAAGCAAACCAGUGUGGCCAUUAGCCCGCCGUGAACCUUCUCUAUAUUUUACAUUCUCUGAGCGUGGUUCGAUGUAGGCACAAUGAAAUAAGAAGUGGCGACACAAGACCAAAGAUAACAUGAUACGAAACUCUUUCAUUCGUGAGAGAGCUGUCAAAGUCCGCAUUUUUUAUAACAUUUGGCAGUGGUGCCACUGCGGGAAAAGAUAAGUUAGUAGAUUUUUAUUCGAUUUCUUGGGUAUUUAUUGGUUUGCAGUUUACGCUUAAUAGAGACUUCUUAACCAAUAUUACACCAACACAUACACUUAUAAAUAUAUAUUUUAAGAUAAACAAUAGACAUCUACACAUAAAAAUAAUAAAAUAUAAUAAUAAUUAAAAAUCGUACAUAUUAUAAGUCAACAUAAACAAAAAUUUAGCUUAGUUUAAUUUAGUAACAUAUAUUUAUUUAUAUUUUAUAAACAAAUAAACACCUUAAUAUAUUCUCUAAAAGUUUAAGAGAAAAUUUGUACCCAGAUAUGUAUUUACGUAAAUGUCAUUUAACACUGUUAAAGAACGUACAUAUAUUACUUUCGUACAAAUAGCCACCGUUUCUUAAAUAAUGUACACAUAUUAACUCCAUUUAUAUAGAAGUUAAUAGUAAUUCAAAAAUCACAAAAAACUUAUCGUACAAAAACGAACCAUUUAAUCAUUUAUUUCUGCGGGAUUCUUAGUGGUAGCUCGUCAUUUUGACUGUCAGCUGUUCAGUAGCCCAUGAUCUGGCUUUGUUGCCAACAUCAAAAAUGAGUUCAUGGGCUCUCUCAACAAGCAAAAGAGAAGAGUUUCGUAUCAUAUUAUCCAUGGCGAACAAAUUAGAGUCGAGUGCGGUCGAAACUCGCUCCGUUAAACAUUUUCUCGGUACAAGUGCAUAUUAAAUUAUUAACAUUGACAAAGUAGACCAUGUGAAAUAAUGAUGAACAAGGAACAGUGCGAUUUAACAUUAGAAGUGGGAUCGAGGCCUAGCGCGGAUGAGCCGUGGCGCAUUUUGAUGGAACUACAAAAGAAAACAUUAAGUGAAGUGGUGCUACCCAAAUUUAAUCCAGAAAGUAUUGGUGCCGAAGCAUUGGCGUGGUGUUCAACGGCGAAUAUAAUUUUAGUCGAAAACAUAAUAAAAGGCAGUGUCUUGGUGAUGGUAUUUGGUGUAUCAUGGUGAGACGAUUACAACAACUUUUGAUUCGGGAGCGGAAUGCAGUCUAAUAAAACAAAAGAUAAGUAUGAAGUUAGAUGGAAAAAGAAUUAAUAAUGUAGUGAUAUUGAAAUGUAUUGGCAAUGACAGCAUUUGUAGUACAUUGCAAAUACUUAGCAACGUAAAUAUUAGCCAUCAUUGUAUUGAAGUGUUGUUCCAUGUCGUGGACAAUGAGUAUUUGAAAAAUUGUAUUGUUACUGGUCGUUAAGUACUGUCUCCUGGAUUCAAUGUUGUAAUAUUACCAGGAAGAUUCGAAAUUUUAAGAUCAAAAACUGUAAACUACUGUUCAAAUGAUCAACAAAUUUUGCUUAUGUUAAACACUGAUCUCGUUGGAGAAGAUAGUGAUAAAUUAAAAUUUUUAUUGGAAAAAAAUUCAAAAUCUUUUGUUGACGGGAUUCCUUUGUCUAGAGUUAGCUCGGGUAAAAUGAAAAUAAAAUUAGUAGACCCAAGAAAAAUUGUUCAAAGAAGGCCGUAUAGACUUAGCGCCAAUGAAAGAGAGUUAGUACGAGAUAAGAUCAAGGAACUAUUUGAAUGAAAAGUUAUAAAACCAAGUUGCUCACCAUAUGCAAGUCCUAUAAUGCAUGUUAAUAAAAAAUAUGGCUCCCAUCGUUUGUGUGUUGAUUACCGCGAGUUAAAUUCUAAUACGGUCUCAGAUAGAUAUGUACCCUUUGCUCCUUAUAUCAGACCAGAUAGCCAGGCUUCACGGAGCAAAAUAUUUUACAUGUUUAGACAUGGCAAGCGGAUACUACCAAAUUCCUUUGCACGAAGAUUCAAAAGAGUGUAAUUUUUGGCAAUGGCAAUUUUUGGAGACUUGACAAAUACAUUCGUUGUCGUUUAUAUGGAUGAUAUAAUGGUGGCUGCUUCAACGAAAAGUGAAGCUUUGGAAAUGUUGCAGAAUACUCUUGAUUGUCUCGCGAAAGCUGGAUUUUCCUUCAAUUUAAAGAAGUGUUCGUUUCUUAAGUCAACAGUCCAAUAUUUGGCAUAUGAAGUAAGUUCAGGUGAAAUUCGUCCGAAUUCGCUUUCCUCAGUCGGUACCCAGCAAGUCAUGGCUACUGAAACUCCAAUACAUUCAAAGAAAUUUUAAUAACACCACUACAUACACACAUAUGAAACAAAGGGCGAAAUGUGCAUAAACAUUUACCUCAACUCAACUACAUGAAAAAAUAGUACCAAAAAAACGUAAUAACAAACAUAUAAUCCAAAAGUCGGUUUUAUUUUGAGCAAAAAAUAUAAAAAUCAAAUAUAAUGAUUAUUUAUGAUUUUUAUUUUUUUGCUAAAAAAUGAUGAUUAUUUAUGAUUUUUUACAAAAUUACUCAGAAUUAAUCAUUAACGGUGAUGAAAAUCAUAAAAAUCUGUAUUUAAAAAAUCAUGGUGGAAAUGGAUAGAUCGUCUAAAAAGGAUUACAAUGACGUUAUCCUUUUGUUUGUGUGACGAUUAUAAUUGAUUGAUUUUUUACUUAAAAAUCGGAACGAUAAUCAUUAUUUUCGGUCCCUGGUUUAAACAAGUUUUGUUUUGAGUUAUAUCAUGGCUGCUUGUGAAGUAUUAUUUUGCGUGUUUUAUUUAAAUCAGUGAUCUGUAGCCUAAUUAAAGUUUAAAUUAUUGAAGCACGCAUUUUUAAAUAAGUAAAACGAUAUUAGGUAUUAGGUUUAAUGUCACUUUUUUACGUGCAAUUAAACCUUUUGCUCAACACAAGCCCGGGAAGAACUGAAACGACAUGGCUUAGGUGCUUUUGUAACCGUUUAUCAUCGCGACAUGUGUAAACUGGGUUUUGCCAAUGAGCUAGAGGACAAAGCAGUUGCAGUAUUUUUAGAAUUACCGGCCCCUCAGUUGGCCGUGCCAUUAGCAGCUAAAACUCAGAAAUUAAAGGGAGGACUUUUUUGAUUCAUUUUCACCUUGUAUUGAGCAAUCAUAACAUUGUUGUAUCGCUUUACAAGGACAUGGAUUCACCGAAAUUAGUUCAAUGGAAAUACUGCAGCAAGAGUAUGGGAUGUCAUGGAUGUUAAGACUAGAACGUUGCCAAUGCUAGAUUUAUAAUUCCUGAAACAUAAGAAAUCCUCCUCCCAGAAAAUGGAUGAAUAUAGUACUAAUGAAAUUAAUGAAAGAACAGAUCUUCCAACUGCCACUCUUCCUCCAGCCUUUGUCAGAUAGCAAAAGUUGUUCAAAUAUUCAAUACGUUUUACAUAUGUAUAUAGUGUAGUACGAUAAUACAUUUAUAAAGUAAAUAUAAUAAUAAACACCUAAAUGGCAUGAUAUUUUAAAUAAAUAUGAAAUAUAA